UAACCAUUUUAUUCUUCAGUCCAAAAUCCCUUAGAAAAAAAAUUCCAUUCGGCCCAACAAUUCUUCUUGCUCUUUGAUAAAUUUAGGUCCAGUAAUUAAUUAUACUAGCCUAUUGCCUAUUCCAUAGGACUAGCCCACAAUAGAAAUUGACCCCAACUCAAAUAUAAUUAAUGGCCCAGCAACUAAUUAGGAAAACAAUGGCCAAAUUCUGAGAUUAAUUCAACACAUAUACUCUCUCCCACUUAUCGUAUCCUCUCUCUCAAUCACUAUUCAUCCUCAUCCUCCCCAAUUGCUAAAACUAGGGAAAUCCCUUCCCCAUAUCGGAAUUUCCGUCGACCAGCCGCCACCGUCGCGCCGCUGCCGCCUCCGGCGGCUUCCCCUUCUCCCUUCUCCCUUUUCUCUUUCUCUUCUCUCCCUUCCCUUUUUCUCUCUCGGCCCUACUCCAUCGCCGCAGCUGCAGUGAGCGCGGCGGUUCGCCGUCGCGGCCCUCCACCUCUCUCCCUCGGAAUCCGCCGCCAUCACCGAUCACCGCUGCUACGCACCGCCACAGCCCCCUUCUUUCUCCCGAUCUGCCGCCGCCGCUGCUGUGCAUGCACAGGCAGCGGCUUCGCCGCUUCUUCUCCGCGCCUCGCGCUGCCGGAGCAGCUCCCCGAAGCCACCACCGUCGCCGCCUCCUCGCCGAACUCCCGAAAGAUUUGUAAAGGUCUUGAAAUCUUUGCAUCGGUGUCAUAUCGGGGUUGUGGGGCUGUCCUCGUGUCGAUGGGGUGCCUAAGUCCAUUCGCCGGAAUCCGGCGGAUUCAUUCCUCAAGAUAAGUUUUCCAAUUGGCUUAGUCAUUAAAGUGUCUACUUACUUCUGCUACUUCAUGAAUUUGGUGAUUUUGGAGCAUUUGUCUUACUGUUAUGGAUGGCUUAGUGGUGGAAGAUGAUGUUAAACUUGCUGUGUAUUUGUUGAUGUUACUUGGGUAGAUUCUACUAUCAAUUUAUAUAUGCAUAUGCUUGUAAAUAUAUGAAAGAAAAGAAAGGUUUGGGGGUUUACCUUUUUAGAUGGGAGCAAACUCAGCAAAGUUUUGUUGGAUUGGGGACUUUGAUCCUACAAUUAUCUGCAAUACUCUCUUCCUCUUACUCCUCUAUUCUAUGUGAGUGUGAAGAGAAUGUUUGAUGGUGAUGGCUGCUUGAAAGUGCAAAGAGCUGGGUUUAUAUACUUGUUGCAAGUUCUGUCAAAUAGAAGAAAGGUUUAUCUUGGGGAGGUUGGAUGUAUGUCAGAGAUAUUUUGUUCAUUUUGGUGAUCCUAUGGCCAAUAUGAGUUUUGAGAUUUGAGGGACUAUCUGAGACGUUAAUUAUUCUUUGUUGAAAUCUGCUCAAAGAUUUGGUCUGAUGUUGAGAUAAAUCUCCUCUGUUACUCAUAUUUUUAUUGUUAUCUUAGUUUGAAUGUCCUACAAUUUACUACAAUAGUUUAUUGCAUAUAUAUCUAUUAUUUUCUCUAAUUACCUUUUUAUGCAGGAGAAUUCGUUUGGAGAACAUUGGUUAUUUCCAUGAUAUAGUUGAAGGGCUGGCUGGAACUUGCACGUCUCUCUCUCUAAAUGUAAUAGAUAGGAUUUUGAUAAAUUUGUAUAAUAGUAGCCGAAUAUUAUAAAUUUUUGUUUGGAUCUAAUCUCUUAGCAGUACUUGAAAUGUUCGUUUGAGAA